AGUCGAACGGGAUUGAGAAGCUUGCUUUUCAUGAGAGUGGCGCACGGGUGCGUAACACGUAUGUAACCUACCUUAAUCUGGGGGAUAGCCUCUCGAAAGAGAGAUUAACACCGCAUAACAUCAUUUUAUAGCAUUUUAGAAUGAUCAAAUAUUUAUAGGAUUAAGAUGGGCAUGCGGAACAUUAGCUAGUUGGUAAGGUAAUGGCUUACCAAGGCUACGAUGUUUAGGGGAUCUGAGAGGAUGACCCCCCACACUGGUACUGAGACACGGACCAGACUCCUACGGGAGGCAGCAGUAAGGAAUAUUGGUCAAUGGGCGCAAGCCUGAACCAGCCAUGCCGCGUGCAGGAAGACGGCCCUACGGGUUGUAAACUGCUUUUGUACCGGAAUAAACUUUGAUACGUGUAUCAAGCUGAAUGUACGGUAAGAAUAAGGAUCGGCUAACUCCGUGCCAGCAGCCGCGGUAAUACGGAGGAUCCAAGCGUUAUCCGGAUUUAUUGGGUUUAAAGGGUGCGUAGGCGGUUCUUUAAGUCAGGGGUGAAAGACGGUAGCUUAACUAUCGCAGUGCCUUUGAUACUGAAGAACUUGAAUACACUUGAGGUAGGCGGAAUGUGACAAGUAGCGGUGAAAUGCAUAGAUAUGUCACAGAACACCAAUUGCGAAGGCAGCUUACUAAAGUGUCAUUGACGCUGAGGCACGAAAGCGUGGGGAUCAAACAGGAUUAGAUACCCUGGUAGUCCACGCCCUAAACGAUGAAUACUCGAUGUUGGCGAUAUACGGUCAGCGUCUAAGCGAAAGCGUUAAGUAUUCCACCUGGGGAGUACGCCCGCA
rnacentral:rRNA from 1 species